GAGGCUGGGCUGUCAGCUGGACAGCUCCUGAUGCCAUAGGCUGGUUUACCUGGGAUUGCUGCUGAUAGCCAAUCACAUUUCAUCCCUGCGGUGGUUAAGUCCCACCCACUCCCUCACUCUGCAGCUGCUGUCACCUGUCAAUCACACACAGCCGAGACGGACAUCUGACGGCAACUUUGAAUGGAUGCAAGAAUGCACAAAAUAUGGAGAAAAACAAAACAAAACAAAACGAAAAGGUGGCGCUGAGAAGCUCAGGGACAAAAAGAGAAAAUCCCUUCAUGACCGGCAAAUUAAAUAUAACCCAGAUGUGGACAGAGAAGUGAAUCCCAGACUUGUUACGGCCGGCAUGUGUUCCAGAGGGGACCCGGAGAGGACUGUGAUCCACAUUGUGGAUGGUUGUAAACAUUUUAAC